UGAGCGGACUCGGAAAAUACAAAUUUAGAAGAAAAACUGAUUGGUCACUUAGAGAUUUCACAGUUCAUUAUAAUACUCCACAUGGAGGACUUCUCAUUGUUACUGAUGUUAAUGGAAAACCAACAGGAACAAGGUACACUUCUAAAAGAAGGCAUCUCAGUCAAGAACAGGAUUUGUCCGCAUUAGAUGAACGUUAUAGAAAAACUACCUUGUCUAUUAAACAAGAAAGCUAAAUGGAAAAAACAUCACUAUACACCCCACAAUAAGAAUGAAAAGCGUUUUGCAGAUCAACCCAACAUCACAGGGGGCUGAAGGAUCCUGUGAAAUUUUAGACUACUGAAGAGAAUCAGGUACUUUCGCAAUAUUAAUGGUAGAAGCCACCAGAAAGCCAAGCACACAGUGUCUAGGAACAACUUCCUUCGGUGCAAAGCUGAAAUAGUUUUCAGACGUCUACCGAUUCCUGGCAUUUCACUGUAUCUGCAAAGAUAACUGGAGUUUCGAACAAAAAUAGAAAUUUGGGGGUCCAGUUUUAUAUAAAGUUAGAGCAAGACAUGAAAUGUGGUGCUGGUUCUUUCCAGUUAUGUCAGACUUAAGAAAUUUGGUGGUGAUACUCCUUACGGGGCCAUCCUGCCGAAAUUCCUUACCCGAAAGCCUAAGAGGUCCGUUCAUUGCUCAUAAAUCCCAUAUUGUACUUAAUUCUCUUUGAUGGUUGCUCUCUUUUUGCUCAAGCUAGUCAGUGUAAUUCUCUCUAUUGUAGAAUGAUUUUUUAGGGACCAUGGUUUUUUUGGAGGGACCAUGGUCUUAUUAGACCAACCUCCCUAUACUUAUAAGGUUGUCCUAAUAUUAGGUAAA